rnacentral:rRNA from 1 species
AUUGAACGCUGGCGGCAGGCCUAACACAUGCAAGUCGAGCGAGCGGCGGACGGGUGAGUAAUGCCUGGGAAUUGCCCAGUCGAGGGGGAUAACAGUUGGAAACGACUGCUAAUACCGCAUACGAUUGGAUUGCCCAGGUGGGAUUAGCUAGUUGGUGGGGUAAAGGCCUACCAAGGCGACGAUCCGUAACUGGUCUGAGAGGAUGAUCAGUCACACUGGAACUGAGACACGGUCCAGACUCCUACGGGAGGCAGCAGUGGGGAAUAUUGGACAAUGGGCGAAAGCCUGAUCCAGCCAUGCCGCGUGUGUGAAGAAGGUCUUCGGAUUGUAAAGCACUUUAAGUUGGGAGGCGUUACCAACAGAAUAAGCACCGGCUAACUUCGUGCCAGCAGCCGCGGUAAUUC